UUCUGGAUGUCUAAUAUUAUGAUUUACUGGACGCUUGCAUCAGGUCUGACGGGCCAGAUUGGCCGAUGCCUGGUACAUGAUGGCAUCUCCGAGGAGAAGGAACUACAUCACAAUUUACAUCAGGAAAGGUAACAUAUGAUUUCUUUUUCCCUUUUCCAAUUAGUAGUGAGACCAGCUACCGAGAAUGACCUGGAAUACCGGCUAACGCGAAGCAGGGUAUCGAUAACGUUUCUGGCGGGAAAAAUGCCAGAACAUCGAUUACCAGCUAGGCUGCUUUUACCUCCGAUUUAUCGAAGCCCAGGAGUAGUGAGACCAGCUACUGAUAAUGACCAAUGACAUCGGCCAACGCGAAGCGAUAUAUCGGUAACCAUUCUGACGGGAAAAUCGCCAGAACACCGAUUACUAGCCGUGCUUUUUUCCUCCGAUUUAUCGAAGUCCAAUAGCCCGCCUAGGCUUCCCGACCAAAACGGCGCGUCAGUGGUGAUUGAAAAUCCGGCAGAGGCACCAGUGAAACAGCUAACCAAAGUGAACAAGACGUAACGCAGCAUACAAAAUGGACGGACAUAAUGGAGACCAAAGUGAAGGAUGGGCAACAGUGCUAUCUAUCUCCUCGGAUGAUAGCAACUGCUCGUCGUCGCCGCCAUCUGCUAGAGUCUCAUCGCUGGAAUCCUAUGCCACAAUAUUUUAGCUUUAGAAUAUACAUCCACCUAAAAUCUUUCCCCAUAAUACCACAAAUUUUUCUUCUUACUAUAUUACUUAAACUUAAAACUACUACCUAAACUACUAGUACCUAUAAAAAUUGUAACUACCAUAAGCUAAGGCUAACUUAACGUAAAAUCCUAAAUCUUAGAUUCCAAUUUAAAUCAUGGCGCGUAUAACUGCCGCCAAGCAAAUCAAAAAUUUUCCUCGAAAUUGAAAUUCUUAAAUAGCUCUCAUAACCAUGGUGCGCACAAUCGCCGCCGAUCCAAAACUGUAAAAUGCCAUAAAUUGUAACUAUAUAUUUUAAAACAAAAUCAGAGUACAAUAAAAUGACAGCACCAACAGGCGCUGAGAAUAUUUAAAAAAAAAAAAAAAAAAAAA